rnacentral:rRNA from 1 species
AUACAUAGGGGGCAAGCGUUAUCCGGAAUUAUUGGGCGUAAAGCGUGCGUAGGCGGUUUAUUAAGUCUGAUGUUAAAUCCCACAGCUCAACUGUGGGCUGCCAUUGGAAACUGGUAGACUAGAGUACGGGAGAAGUGAAGGGAACUCCAUGUGUAGCGGUGAAAUGCGUAGAUAUAUGGAAGAACACCAGUGGCGAAGGCGCUUCACUAGCCCGAAACUGACGCUCAGUCACGAAAGCGUGGGUAGCAAAUAGGAUUAGAUACCCUAGUAGUCCACGCUGUAAACGAUGACAACUAAAUAUUGCCGCGAGGCAGUGUUGAAGCUAACGCAUUAAGUUGUCCGCCUGGGGAGUACGGUCGCAAGACUGAAACUUAAAGGAAUUGACGGGG